GCAAAAUCAACAGGCUGUGUCUGUGCAUCCAUAAUGCAAGCCAGCUGUUCCUUUUGCACUUAAGUAGAGCUGACACAGACUCAGCACUAACAGAUGAGCACAUGGGCCCAAUAGUUCACCUGUCCUUUUCGCUCAUGUUUUAUUUUUCCAAAUGACAACCUAAUAGUUAGGGACCAAAGUGCUAUUGUGAAUUGCCGUAUGUGCAAGGAUAAUGAGAUUGCUCGUCGUAACGACAUCACAAAACCUCUCAUGUAAGGUAGGCAGGAAAAAGUGUAUGUUUGGGUGUCACUGAUCAAUAUGAUCAAUAGGCUCGAACUCCUCAAAAUGCUUUUAUAAAUUAUGCAGAGAACGUAAACUUGGUUCCCCUCCAAAGCAAAUGUAUUAACAUGGCUACCAAGAUUGCUCCAGGACCCUUUCAGUUGGGAUACAACUGGCUUUUGUGGCAUUUUCUGUCUAUCUAAUUUACCAAUUUCUAUAUUUACAGGCAAGCGCUCCCCUAGGUUCCCAGAUCGCCCCAUAAAGGAGCCCCUAACACCGUGGAAGGUGUCAGUGAUGCGUGAAUGCUACAAGGAGAGGCUGCUGCGGCUUGGUCUACCAGCUGAAAUACUACAAAACAGCCUCAAGCGGCUUAACCAUUUUGUAGUAGAGAAGUUGGCUGACAUAGAAAAACUGGCCAAAAAGACUGAAAUGGCAUAAGAAGGUCACUGGAGGAUGCCGCUACGAAGAACUCUGUAGCAUGUUAAAAUACAUUUUAUUUAAACUUA